CCUACGGGGGGCAGCAGUGGGGAAUAUUGGACAAUGGGGGGAACCCUGAUCCAGCCAUGCCGCGUGUGUGAAGAAGGCCCUCGGGUUGUAAAGCACUUUCAGUGAGGAAGAACGCCUGGUGGUUAAUACCCAUCAGGAAAGACAUCACUCACAGAAGAAGCACCGGCUAACUCCGUGCCAGCAGCCGCGGUAAUACGGAGGGUGCGAGCGUUAAUCGGAAUUACUGGGCGUAAAGCGCGCGUAGGUGGCUUGAUAAGCCGGUUGUGAAAGCCCCGGGCUCAACCUGGGAACGGCAUCCGGAACUGUCAAGCUAGAGUGCAGGAGAGGAAGGUAGAAUUCCCGGUUUAGCGGUGAAAUGCGUAGAGAUCGGGAGGAUUACCAGUGGCGAAGGCGGCCUUCUGGACUGACACUGACACUGAGGUGCGAAAGCGUGGGUAGCAAACAGGAUUAGAUAUCCUAGUAGUC
rnacentral:rRNA from 1 species